rnacentral:tRNA from 1 species
GGAGAGAUGGCUGAGCGGUUUAAGGCGCACGCUUGGAAAGCGUGUAAGCGGCGCAAGCUGCUUCGAGGGUUCAAAUCCCUCUCUCUCCGCCA